rnacentral:rRNA from 1 species
ACGCAAUGUGAAUUGCAGAAUUCAGUGAAUCAUCAGAUUUCUGAACGCAAAUGGCACCAUGGGGAUACUCUCCUUGGUACGUCUG